rnacentral:piRNA from 1 species
UACCAGGAAGAGCUUGAUUGAGAUAGACAUU